rnacentral:rRNA from 1 species
UACGUAGGGUGCAAGCGUUAAUCGGAAUUACUGGGCGUAAAGCGUGCGCAGGCGGUUAUGCAAGACAGAUGUGAAAUCCCCGGGCUCAACCUGGGAACUGCAUUUGUGACUGUAUAGCUAGAGUACGGUAGAGGGGGAUGGAAUUCCGCGUGUAGCAGUGAAAUGCGUAGAUAUGCGGAGGAACACCGAUGGCGAAGGCAAUCCCCUGGACCUGUACUGACGCUCAUGCACGAAAGCCAGGGGAGCAAACGGG